GUCUUCCUGGGAUACCAGGACUGCCAGGGAAUCCGGGUGUUCAGGGGCCCCCUGGGUUCUCAGGCCCCUCUGGAUUUAGAGGUUUGUUUGGAAGCGUCCAGUUUUUAUAACACUGUUCUGUAAAUUGAAGAACUUUUGAGACAAAUGUGACACAAACUGUAAAAAAAAUGUUAAAAUGUAAUAACAACAUUUCAUUUCUGUGAUGCAGGUGAUGCCGGUGCCUGCGCUUGUGGACCUCCAAUCAACGUACCAGGUCCUCCAGGGCCUAAAGGCUUCUCUGGGAGUCCAGGGUUGCCAGGGUCCCAGGGACCCCAAGGCCCGAGAGGAGAGACGGGUCAUGUGGGAGAUGUAGGACUGAGAGGGGAAGAGGUGGGUUCUGAGUGACAAGGUCAGAUGUUUCCUCCAGAGAGGAUCGAGUUGUUUGUUCCGUGUUGGUGUGAUUGUUCUGUGUCUAGGGUCUGGGUGGAGAUCAGGGCCUUAAAGGGCUGAAAGGUCAGAAAGGGAGUUUUCGAGUGGUUGAUUUUAAAGGUGAGUUCCUGUUUUCUCACAGAAGCUGUUGAAGGUUUGGAAAAUGCUGCUUUGGACGAUGGUGUGUAUGUUUAAUGUUUUGUGUCUGCAGGUGAGAAGGGAGAUCCGGGCCCUCCAGGUGUGCCAGGCAAACCAGGACCCUCUGGACUAACAGGGCUUAGUGGGAAUCCAGGGGCCUCUGGAUUCAUGGGCCCUGAGGGGGAGGCUUUUUCUGGUAUUACUGGAGACAGAGGUCCGCCAGGACCCCCGGGACCUGCUGGGCCCCCAGGACCUGCUGGGCCCCCAGGACGUGGUGUUAUGGGUGCGAUGGGAAAGCGAGGGGCCCCUGGGACUCCAGGAGUCAUAGGAUUUCCUGGACCUCCAGGACCAAGAGGCAUUAAAGGUGAGAUUCUACUGAUGAGUUUUCAGGACUCAAAAGACUUUGCUGAGAAAAUAAAAUAAAAGAAUGCACCCCAGUCUGUCCCACACAGGAACCGCUGACUGAUAAGCGUCAUACAUAUG
rnacentral:lncRNA from 1 species